rnacentral:misc_RNA from 1 species
AAGUCGUAACAAGGUUUCCGUAGGUGAACCUGCGGAAGGAUCAUUACCAAUUUAAUCCAAAAACACUUUAACCCAUGUGCACGGUGACAUUGUUUGUCCUUGGGGUGGUGGCCGUUUUGUAUUUGCAAAAUGUUUGCUGCCCCCACAUUUGUUUAACACAUUCUUAUUUUUGUGGCAUCUUAGUGUCUUGUAAUAAAAUAUUGACAACUUUUAACGGUGGAUCUCUUGGCUCGU